AUCCCACCGACGAGUCCUAAAUAGGGACGAAAUGCGCAUCCUGGAU
rnacentral:hammerhead_ribozyme from 1 species